AACGUAGGAGACAAACGUUAUCCGGAGUUACUGGGCGUAAAGGGUGCGUAGGUGGCGCUGUAAGUCGGGUGUGAAAUUUCGGAGCUUAACUCCGAAACUGCAUUCGAUACUGCGGUGCUUGAGGACUGGAGAGGAGACUGGAAUUCAUGGUGUAGCAGUGAAAUGCGUAGAGAUCAUGAGGAAGACCAGUGGCGAAGGCGGGUCUCUGGACAGUUCCUGACGCUGAGGCACGAAGGUCAGGGGAGCAAACGGG
rnacentral:rRNA from 1 species